CUCUCGCAACGAGCUCACACCUCAACGCGGUGCUAGAGUCUAGUAACCAUGCAGAUGGCGAAGCUAAGAUGAGCU
rnacentral:ribozyme from 1 species